CUGUGACUAGCUCUUUUUACCCAAAUUCCUCACAGAGCCAAACCCUUGCUUUUGCGGAGGCGAACUCUCCUUUCCCAAAUCCCACUUCUCUCGUGGAGUCUCGGAGAUCUAAACCCUCGCGUUUUCCGAUCUGCUUCUCUUCGUCCUCCUCAUGUCUCUCUCUGAGUUCGACUCGAUCCCGACUCAGUCUUGAGUGACAUCGAAAGGUCUUGAGCUACAAGUUUAUGGGUAGGUAUGAUUAGCCAUUGUUAUCCUCCAUUGCCGAUUCUAUAUUUGAUUUUUAUUUCAACUGCGUUUAAAUUUCUUUUAUCUGUCAAUUUUCAGUUCUUUUUAUUUCUUUGGUUAAAAUAUCAAUUGUUGUAAUUGGGUUCAAGAUACUUGUUGUCAGUCUCGGUGUAUACAUUGAGCACAUACUAAAUGAUCAAAUCUCUUAUUUAUCCCACUCGUCUGUAUGAGAAAAGAUUCCAAGUGCAAUACUUCCGUCAUUCCAAGUGCAAUACUUCCAUCAGAGGAAUACUGAAAGCCAUUCUCUUUAUGAGAGUUAAUUUGACUUUGAGAAACGUUCACAUAAAACAUACAUUAAGGAAGGACUAAUAUCUGUCUUUGGAACCAUAUUCUUCUGUUUCAUCUUUUAGGUAUAUUUGUCCAUGAAAGAAUGGUAAUCAUUAUUCCCUUAUGAUAUGCAUACAUACUUGAAUUUGUUGUGUUGUUAUUCCCAAGCCUUUACAAGUUUAUAUAGCAGUAAUUUGGUUCAAGAUUUCGAAUAUCAGUGAAAUGAAACUAAGGUAAGGAACAAAAUCUUAUGAACUAAAAUACCCUGGACUCCUAGUAUCUAAUUUUUACGAAUUAAAAUAUCCUUGUACAUUCUAGGUAUCUAAUUUUGUUCCAUGUCUUGUACUUCAGUUAAAUAGGACCAGUUUGUGCUUUUGAAUAUAUUUUUACUGUUAUACUGCUAACUUUAUCUUUUAUCUUAUUGGAAUCUGUUGGUCUUUGUGUAGCUUUUAACUAAAAGUUCCCGGUAUUUGAUUACAGAAGUUGGUUACUUGGUUAUAAUUUAUAAGUUACUCUAUUGCAGGUUAAUGGAUAAUGCAGAUUGUACAAACUUAGGCAAUCAGCCAACAAGUGAUUUGAAAGACUUAGAAGGUGAAGAGCAGUUUGAGCAUUCUAAUCAUAGUGAGGAGGCGAUUGAAGAGGUAAUUCUUGGAAAAGAGUUUCUGGAUGUUAAGAGUGCAAGGAAGUUUUAUAUCAAUUAUUGUGGCAAAAAUGGCUUCAAUGUGAGUAAUUGAAUUGGUAUUUUGUAGGAACCGUUGACAUAAUUUAGUUCAUUAUCACAAGAGAAAGAACACAACAUACACUGAGGAGAUUGAGUUCAAGAUUAUAUUUGGAAAUUUUUUGAUCAUUGAAAGAUCGGACAAAUAGAGAUUGUCAUUGUUAUUUUGUUAGUCCAUUUUUGCAAGAGAUGAGAUUUUGUCAUUUUUGAGAAAGAAAGGGAUUCUGUAACUCAUCAUUGACAUGAAAAAAGAAAAAUUCAUGACACUGCUUUCUCUAGAAAAAAUUGGUAUUUGAGGACUUAUUUGCUCUUCCAGACUGUUUAACAGCUAUUGCUAUUAACACUAUAGAGUUUACUGUAAGUAGAGAUAGUUUGAGCUUCAAGUUUGUGUUCACAAUAUAUUGUUUUACUGGUAAACAUUAAUGGUCAUUAAUCUCUUAUAUGAUAGCACGAGGCAAUUCUCAGAUUUGUAAUUCUCAUUGAUAGAAGGGAGAAAUACAAUUUAGUACCUGACAACAUUUCAUUUAGCAAUUCAAUCCACAACAAUUUCACUUAUACAAUUUAGUCCUAAUCCAAUAAUUUUUAUUUUUUUUAUUUUUUAUUUUUUUACUUUACCUUACCUAGUAAUUUUUU
rnacentral:lncRNA from 1 species